rnacentral:rRNA from 1 species
UCAGUCGAUCCUACGGGGAGGCAGCAGUGGGGGAAUAUUGCACAAUGGGCGCAAGCCUGAUGCAGCCAUGCCGCGUGUGUGAAGAAGGCCUUCGGGUUGUAAAGCACUUUCAGUCGUGAGGAAGGUAGUGUAGUUAAUAGCUGCAUUAUUUGACGUUAGCGACAGAAGAAGCACCGGCUAACUCCGUGCCAGCAGCCGCGGUAAUACGGAGGGUGCGAGCGUUAAUCGGAAUUACUGGGCGUAAAGCGCAUGCAGGUGGUUUGUUAAGUCAGAUGUGAAAGCCCGGGGCGUCAACCUCGGAAUUGCAUUUGAAACUGGCAGACUAGAGUACUGUAGAGGGGGGUAGGAAUUUCAGGUGUAGCGGUGAAAUGCGUAGAGAUCUGAAGGAAUACCGGUGGCGAAGGCGGCCCCCUGGACAGAUACUGACACUCAGAUGCGAAAGCGUGGGGAGCAAACAGGAUUAGAUACCCUGGUAG